rnacentral:rRNA from 1 species
GUGGGGAAUCUUCCACAAUGGACGAAAGUCUGAUGGAGCAACGCCGCGUGAGUGAAGAAGGGUUUCGGCUCGUAAAGCUCUGUUGUCGGGGACGAAUGUGCAGUAUUUGAAUAAAGUAGUGCAAUGACGGUACCUGACGAGGAAGCCACGGCUAACUACGUGCCAGCAGCCGCGGUAAUACGUAGGUGGCAAGCGUUGUCCGGAAUUAUUGGGCGUAAAGGGAGCGCAGGCGGGAAGGUAAGUCGGUCUUAAAAGUGCGGGGCUCAACCCCGUGAUGGGAUCGAAAAUAUCUUUCUUGAGUGCAGGAGAGGAAAGUGGAAUUCCUAGUGUAGCGGUGAAAUGCGUAGAUAUUAGGAGGAACACCAGUGGCGAAGGCGACUUUCUGGACUGUAACUGACGCUGAGGCUCGAAAGCCAGGGGAGCGAACGGGAUUAGAUACCCGGGUAGUCC